UAAUGGCAGGUCAGCAUACUGCCGUGAAUACGUUCCCGGGCCUUGUACACACCGCCCGUCACACCAUGAGAGUUGGAAAUACCCGAAGCCUGUGAGCUAACAGUAAUGAGGCAGCAGUCGAAGGUAGAGCCAAUGAUUGGGGUGAAGUCGUAACAAGGUAAC
rnacentral:rRNA from 1 species